rnacentral:ncRNA from 2 species
AGAAACUCCAGGGGCCGUAAGGCUACGGAAAGUGCAACAGAAAACAUUCCGCUAUAAAAGGGUCUUUUUAUAGACAGGCUGAAAAUUCCUAUUUUAAGAAUAGGAGCUAUUAAGGUGACUUAGUAGACGUGCAAACCCUAUCUGAAGCAAGAGAAAAAGUUUUUGUUUCUGCAUAAUGAGGAAUGGUAUUCCUCAUGAACUUUUUCAUAAUCGCUUGAGGGAUAUAGUAAUAUAUCCCCUAGAUGAAUGGUUGCCCUCAAGAUGGGUUUUCUCAUCUUGUAGACAGAAUCCAGCUUACCCUCUCUUCCGAUAU